GGCCGGGUCCCAUGCAAUAACGGUUCUUGUGAACCCCGCCAGGUCCGGAAGGAAGCAACGGUAACAGGAAUGUUAUGUGAUAUGGGGGUGCCCGGCCACU
rnacentral:SRP_RNA from 1 species